rnacentral:rRNA from 1 species
CCUACGGGAGGCAGCAGUGGGGGAUAUUGCACAAUGGGGGAAACCCUGAUGCAGCGACGCCGCGUGGGUGAAGAAGCGCCUCGGCGCGUAAAGCCCUGUCAGCAGGGAAGAAAAUGACGGUACCUGACUAAGAAGCCCCGGCUAACUACGUGCCAGCAGCCGCGGUAAUACGUAGGGGGCAAGCGUUAUCCGGAUUUACUGGGUGUAAAGGGAGCGUAGACGGCAGUGCAAGUCCGGAGUGAAAGCCCGGGGCUCAACCCUGGGACUGCUCUGGAAACUGUAAAGCUGGAGGGCGGGAGGGGCAGGCGGAAUUCCUGGUGUAGCGGUGAAAUGCGUAGAUAUCAGGAGGAACACCGGCGGCGAAGGCGGCCUGCUGGACCGUAACUGACGUUGAGGCUCGAAAGCGUGGGGAGCAGACAGGAUUAGAUACCCGGGUAGUC